rnacentral:lncRNA from 1 species
CCGUCUGUGUCCGUCUGUGUCCGUCAGCACACACAUGACAUCCGUUGUAAGACCCGAUCCCGGCCGACUAGGCCGCGGUCGAUGCCUCACAUCGCUCAGUCCAUACCCGGACCGAACCUCUAAAAAUUUUGCCCUUUAUUUAAAAUAUCGCCCAUUGGCGAGGGCUAACUCAGAUCCUAGCUCAAGACUACCUUAGUCAUUCCCUAGCUAGAUCCUUUCAAC